GUUAACACGGGACAAAGAUCUACAUCAUCCACCAAGAUUGGAAAAUUUAUGAACCCCACAGACAUGCCCAAAAGGAAGUCGGAAGAGAUAAAGAACAAAAACCAAUGCAUGGUGGUGCGAGCAUGCAGGUGAAGGUUCCUGAACAGAUUAUCCAGGACAAUUGGAUGAAAUGGAGUUUAACCCAUUGCAACAGCCACUGUUAAAUGAGAAAGUACUGAAAGACAAGUGUAAAAAGCUGUGUGAAAAUAUGAGUGUAUUCUCCAACUUUAUAAAAAAGAGGAUCCAGAUAUUUAUAAAGAAUUGAGAAAACUAGAAGUGAAUAUGAACAAAAAAUUGUUCAGCUUAGCCAGUAUUUUGAUGCUGUUAAGAAUGCAUGUGGACAUGGGGAGUAUUCCCUUGCCAGAUAUACAAUAUGCUGCUUCCAACAUCUUGAUCCAGGACAUUACACUUCCUGGUGCCCAGCCAUCCUCCACCCUAUUGACCUCCACCCAAGGCAGUUUCUGUAAUCAAUCUUCAUGGAUAUGGUGUUUCACGUUUGCCCUUUGGAAGAAAACCUCCCGGCCCCCCCUCUGGUCCAUUGCCACCUUAGGUCUUACUGGUGUGUGGCUGCAAAGUGGGCUUUGCCUUGGAUCUUCCCCCUUGUGGGCAAGAUCUUCAUCAUGCUGUGUAGUCCUGAACUUGUUCAGCGGGGUCAUGAUAAGGAUGUUUCCAUCACAAGUGAAGAUUAUGGCUAUCCUGAGGCCAUGGAUCAGGAUAAACAGCACCAAUGGUAGUGACACUGACAGAUCAGAUGGAGAAAGUGAGGAGGAUGAAUUUGUGCAUCGUAGUGACAAUGAAUGAGACAACAAUGAAGAAAACAAAUCAGGUCUGAGUGUAUGAUUUCCUGAUAUGCCUGGAAAAUCGAGGAAGAAAGAGAAGAGCAUGAAAGAGUUGAUGCCUCUUAAAGCCAUGAUGCUCAGAAUGGCAGGUCAGGAAAUCCUUGAGGAGGGAAGAGAAGUAGAGGAAUUUUCCGAGGAUGAUGAUGAUGAUUCUGCAGCAGAAAAGCAAUCACACAGCAGCGUAAGAAGAUUCCCAUUCUGAUGGCAAUCUUCAUCCUUGAAGCAGCAGACUCCUCCUCCCCAGUCUGUUCCUUCCUCUCGGAUUCAAACACCUCCUAUGCCAGAAUCCCAUCCUACUGACCAACCACCUGCUCUACCUUUACCACCUCCUGGAACACCUACCAGUCUUCCUUCUGCUCCAACGCCAAAGGAUCAUCUAUUCUUGGAACAACCUGGAAUGCCAGGAAUCUGAGGGCCUUUAUCCCAACAUUUACUUCCAGGUUCACCACCAGGUCCCCCUCCUGGCUCUCUCCGAAGUGAGCCCCCAGGUCUUCCUGCUGGCCCUCUGCCUCAGGGACCCCCACCAAGGAUACCUCCUCCUGUACCUCCAGGCAUCCCUCCACUUUGUCCUAUCCUGAUGCACCCACCUCCGGUGCCUCCACUUGGACCGAACCCACCUGGACUUUUCCUACCAGCUCCCUUGCCCAACUCAGAGGUUUUGAGUGUCUACACAGUUUAAUCCAGCAACCCAAGGUGGAUGAUACAAGUGAAGCCACCACUGCGAAGAAAGCCACGGUGAUCAUUAGUGCCAAGCCACAAAUCACUAACCCUAAGGCAGAGAAUACUUGAUUUGUGCCCACUGCAUUGAAAGUGUGUCAGGAGAGUAAAUGUGCUUCUGCAUGCAAACAAAGUCAGGGGAGGAUUCUACUGUGCCUCUUGCCAAAGCAGCUCCCAAGUCUGGUCCUGCUGCUGCUUUGUCCAUGCAAAUCAAGGAUGAUGUUUAUGAGGCUUUGAAGAGAUGGAAGGACUGCUGUGA